CCUACGGGAGGCUGCAGUGAGGAAUAUUGGUCAAUGGGCGCGAGUCUGAACCAGCCAAGUAGCGUGAAGGAUGACUGCCCUACGGGUUGUAAACUUCUUUUAUAUAGGAAUAAAACGAGGCACGUAUACCUUUUUGUAUGUACUUUAUGAAUAAGGAUCGGCUAACUCCGUGCCAGCAGCCGCGGUAAUACGGAGGAUCCGAGCGUUAUCCGGAUUUAUUGGGUUUAAAGGGAGCGUAGAUGGGUUGUUAAGUCAGUUGUGAAAGUUUGCGGCUCAACCGUAAAAUUGCAGUUGAUACUGGCAGCCUUGAGUACAGUAGAGGUAGGCGGAAUUCGUGGUGUAGCGGUGAAAUGCUUAGAUAUCACGAAGAACUCCGAUUGCGAAGGCAGCUUACUAAACUGCCACUGACAUUGAUGCUCGAAAGUGUGGGUAUCAAACAGGAUUAGAUACCCUUGUAGUC
rnacentral:rRNA from 1 species